UGGGGUUGCAGUGAGUGCAAUGCCUAUGCUUUCUUGAAAUCAGCUUACCUGAUAUGAGUUUAUAGCCGUCAGCAACAAUUCUGCAUAUUCCAAAACCACAGUAUUCUAUGCAACUUGGUUUCAUCAGAGGGCCAAGAAGACACGAGUAUCCCAGAAGGCUAGAACAUGCUUUUAUCGUUAAUCAAUACCUCACUGAUACUUACCUUUAAAAGUUUUCCUCCAAGGAAUAGGAAAAAAUGUAAAGGGAAUUUAGGGGAGGAGGUGAAGACAAGGGCAGAAAUUAUGGAUCUCAUUAUCUCAAAUGAGCUUAUUGUCAUUUUCUUCCGUGAGCUGCUGAUCAAUGAGCUUAUUUUUUUAUUUUCUGUAUUAUCUAGAUGGAAGAUGAGUGGUUUGUUGUUCUAGUUCGAAGCAAUAGAGGCAAGGGCCUUAUUCUUCCAACAUAAUUUAUAAAGCUAUUCUCUCAGGCCUGAGCUAAGAAGAAUUGCAAGUAAAGAUGUAAAUGAAAAGACGUCUAAAAGGAAGCAGGGAAACGAGAUUGGUCGUGACCUGGAGACAUAGGCGAUACCUUUUGUGUACCACAUGCUAUGACAUGCAGUGUUCUGGGAAAUGCAAAUUUUCAAGGAAGUCAUGAGGGAAACAAAGAUCUCAUCAAGAGAUUCAUGGGAUUAAAGGUGUCCACUACUGUCCAGUCCUAUCUCGCAUUCAUAUGAGAAAAAGUGGCUUUUGAUUGGCUAUGUGAAAGUUGAAUGAGAGAAAAGGGCAAAAUGGUGGAGGAAGAAAAAAGAGAGUCCUACACUUAAAAGCAAAAGAGAAGGAAAGUAUUUCAUCAACUAAAGGGGAAAGAAAGGAAAGACAGUUUCAUUCAAACCUUUAUUGGGAAGAGCUGCUACUUAACGGAUCAUCACAUAUUUUCUUUGAAAGAUAACUCUCUAAAAAGCUCACAAAAGCCUCUCCCGUCCAAAAUAUAGAAAAUAUGAAUCCAUGAUUUUGCUUAAAUAAAGAUAGAAAUCAUCAUGAGUGUAAUUUGCUUUUCCUCUACAAUUAAUGAAAUCUCCAAAGAAAGACUUCACCCAAGCACCUUGAUAUGUAAAGCCAAGAAGUUUGGCAUGUACAGUGACAAUGAGAGGGAGAGCAAGGGGAGAGACCAAACCAAAGGAAGGAUUUUCCUCUUAAAAAAAAAAAAAUUAAAGAAUUCUUCUUUCCUUUCUUUA